AACUUUCAGCAAUGGAUCACUUGGCUCUCGCAUCGAUGAAGAACGCAGCGAAAUGCGAUAAGUAAUGUGCAUUGCAGAAUUCAGUGAAUCAUCGAAUCUUUGAACGCACCUUGCGCUCCUUGGUAUUCCGAGGAGCAUGCCUGUUUGAGUGUCAUUAAUAUAUCAACCUUCACUUGUUGAUUGGUUUGUAUGUGAGGAGUUUGCCUGGUCUCUUAAAAGGUUUUGGCUCCCCUGAAAUGCUUAAGUAGAACAAGCCGGGUCAUUGGUGUGUUAAAUUGUCUAAGCUAUUGAAUGUGAAGGGCAGUUUGGCUUUCUAACAGUCGUCGGAAAAACUCAUCAAUAAUGUUACCUCAUAUCAUGUAGGAUUACCCGCUGAACUUAAGCAUAUCAAUAAACGGAGGGU
rnacentral:misc_RNA from 1 species